rnacentral:rRNA from 1 species
AGUGAACGCUGGCGGUAGGCCUAACACAUGCAAGUCGAACGGCAGCACAGUAAGAGCUUGCUCUUACGGGUGGCGAGUGGCGGACGGGUGAGGAAUACAUCGGAAUCUACUUUUUCGUGGGGGAUAACGUAGGGAAACUUACGCUAAUACCGCAUACGACCUACGGGUGAAAGCAGGGGAUCUUCGGACCUUGCGCGAUUGAAUGAGCCGAUGUCGGACUAGCUAGUUGGCGGGGUAAAGGCCCACCAAGGCGACGAUCCGUAGCUGGUCUGAGAGGAUGAUCAGCCACACUGGAACUGAGACACGGUCCAGACUCCUACGGGAGGCAGCAGUGGGGAAUAUUAGACAAUGGGCGCAAGCCUGAUCCAGCCAUACCGCGUGGGUGAAGAAGGCCUUCGGGUUGUAAAGCCCUUUUGUUGGGAAAAAAAAGCAGCAGGUUAAUACCCCGCUGUUCUGACGGUACCCAAAGAAUAAGCACCGGCUAACUUCGUG